rnacentral:rRNA from 1 species
UACGGAGGGUGCGAGCGUUGUCCGGAAUCAUUGGGCGUAAAGGGCGCGUAGGUGGCCCCUCAAGCGGGCGGUGAAAGUCGGGGGCUCAACCCCCGAUCGGCCGUGCGAACUGGGGGGCUGGAGCACUGUAGAGGCAGGCGGAAUUCCGGGUGUAGCGGUGGAAUGCGCAGAUAUCAGGAGGAACACCGAUGGCGAAGGCGGCAUCCUGGACCGGCAUUGACGCUGAGGAGCGAAAGCCAGGGGAGCAAACGGG